rnacentral:rRNA from 1 species
UUGAAAAGAACUUUGAAGAGAGAGUUCAAGAGUACGUGAAACCGUUCAGGGGUAAACCUGAGAAACCCAAAAGAUCGAAUGAGGAGAUUCAUCGUCAGCUCAUUUUGUAUAUGUAUUAGUUAUGAUGCGGGUUACUACUUGUAGUAUNGCCUGUACGUGCUUUUACAUUUUAUUGCAAUUUGUNGUCGGCGUGCACUUCUCCUCUAGUAGGACGUCGCGACCCGUUAGAUGUUGGUCUAC